rnacentral:precursor_RNA from 1 species
CGUGGAGAUUUUGUUGAGAUGCUACGAGCGUAUCUUGCUCUGAACAAGGGCAUCUAAAGUCACAGAUGCGUGUGAUUAUUGUUCUA